UACGUAGGGUGCGAGCGUUGUCCGGAAUUAUUGGGCGUAAAGGGCUCGUAGGCGGUCUGUCGCGUCGGGAGUGAAAACUCAGGGCUUAACCCUGAGCCUGCUUCCGAUACGGGCAGACUAGAGGUAUGCAGGGGGAGAACGGAAUUCCUGGUGUAGCGGUGGAAUGCGCAGAUAUCAGGAGGAACACCGGUGGCGAAGGCGGUCUCUGGGCAUUACCUGACGCUGAGGAGCGAAAGUGUGGGAGGCGAACAGG
rnacentral:rRNA from 1 species